CCUACGGGUGGCAGCAGUGGGGAAUAUUGGGCAAUGGGCGCAAGCCUGACCCAGCAACGCCGCGUGAAGGAAGAAGGCUUUCGGGUUGUAAACUUCUUUUCUCAGGGACGAAGAAAGUGACGGUACCUGAGGAAUAAGCCACGGCUAACUACGUGCCAGCAGCCGCGGUAAUACGUAGGUGGCAAGCGUUAUCCGGAUUUACUGGGUGUAAAGGGCGUGUAGGCGGGACUGCAAGUCAGAUGUGAAAACCACGGGCUCAACCUGUGGCCUGCAUUUGAAACUGUAGUUCUUGAGUACUGGAGAGGCAGACGGAAUUCCUAGUGUAGCGGUGAAAUGCGUAGAUAUACGGAGGAACACCAGUGGCGAAGGCGGCCUGCUGGACAUUAACUGACGCUGAGGCGCGAAAGCGUGGGGAGCAAACAGGAUUAGAUACCCGGGUAGUC
rnacentral:rRNA from 1 species